UACGAAGGGUGCAAGCGUUAUUCGGAAUCAUUGGGCGUAAAGGGUGUGUAGACGGUAUGCUAAGUCUGUUGUUAAAUUCUCCAGCCUAACUGGAGAUCUGCGGUGGAAACUAGCGUGCUAGAGGGUGGAAGAGAGAAGUGGAAUUCUCGGAGUAGCGGUAAAAUGCGUAGAUCUCGAGAGGAACACCAAUGGCGAAGGCAGCUUCUUGGUCCAUUCCUGACGUUGAAACACGAAAGCGUGGGGAGCAAAC
rnacentral:rRNA from 1 species